GUGUCCAGCUUGAAACGCAACACUUCGUUAAUUAACUCUGUAAUCAGAUGGGCUUUUGUCUUAGGUGUAUAUUUGAAGUUUUUUGGACUGUAAUAUAGAUUUUGUGUGGAAGCCCAGUGAGCUAUUGUCUUCGUCUUCUUCUCUUUUACAGAAUAGUUAGGGUUGCCGCUGUUGCUUCAAUCCGACAAUGGAGCUCCUUCUUUGGUGGUGUCCGUCUUCUGCAUCGAUUCGCUUGCAACUCUUCCCAUCCUCAUUUGAGAACGCACACCGUUACGUAACUCGGCUGCAUACAUUUAUUAUCAUUAAAGUUACAAUUAACUCCAUCUACCCCAUUCAUUCCGCGAUUUCACAAUCAAUACGUCUCCCUACCUUCCAGUCGGUGAAUCUACAGAUAAACUCUCGCAGGAGGAUUAUCUGCGCGGACCAACCAGGAUCCUAUUUAUAUCUCUUAUGCCAAUGCUUUGAAUACGUUCAUUCAUCAUGUACUAAUCUCGGUAAAACCAAGCUAGAUUCUUUCUUUUCUUUUUUUUCAUCUUAAUACAGUUCUUCUUCAUGAUUUUAACACCAUUGUAAGUUACUUCCUGUAAAUAUCAUCUUUAGAUUUCAACAUUAGUAGAAAACUUCCACAAGAACAGUUAGUAUCAUCUUUAGAUCUCAAUUUAUAUUGCCUUAGUAGGCGGAGUUGCUACAAUAGUUGUGUUUAUUGAAUUUAAACCACUUCCUUCAGAUUCUAUGAUUUAGGUUGAGAUCCGUAUGGAGCUUAGACAAAUACGGUGAAGGAAUGGAAUCGACGAGCUGGAAGCCCGAGGCGAACAUGUCUUUCUGAUGAUCAGGACAAUUAAUCUCGAGGAAGCUGCUUAGAUUCUGGGAAGCAUGAAACUUUAAACAUGGUGAGAGUAUAAUAUUUGCUGGGGAUUUGCCGUGGAGUCCGCCGUGGUCAUGUUACUGAACGUUGUAGCUCUGAAUCAGCCUACAAACAAGAAACUUAGCAAGAAUACAUUCUCUCUGUAGUUUUCUGAUUUUUAAGUAUCUACCUUUCAACAAUUUUUUUAUUUGUUUAUCUUUUCCAAUUGCGUUGAGAAUCAUAAUAGUGUGACUGGACUGAUAACUCUUCUAUUUUUUAUAUUUUAUGCUUCAUAUUGACAAAAGCAACUAAAUGAUAAUUAUUUUCAA